CGUGACCAGGCCGGCUGCAGCGAUAGGCGCUGGCCGUCCGGCCGGGGCGGGGUCUCGCCGCCACCGCCCCUGGGCCCUGAAGUUUCCCGGGGUAUCCCGGUCCGCCAGUGGGCUGUCCGCGGGGGCGGGCUGCUACCCGGGCCCAGUGGGUUCCGAGUGCGCCGGCUCUGCGCCCGGGACAAGCGGCGAGCCAGUGACCGCCGCCGCCGCCCGGGUCGAGGCCGUGGCGGGCAGAGCCGAGGCUCUCGGGGCUUCUGUUCCGUCACGGCGGACGCCUCCCCCUCCCUCCGGGACCAGCCUGACAGAUGACAUGCCCCGCAUGUGCCACAGCCCUCCUCUCCUCCCCAGCCCCGGGAGGAGAGACGCGGUGUGGGAGGGCCCCCUGAAAAAGCCAGCACAGUUACUCGCUGUUCAACUUCGCAAUCAACAUCCAUGGGAUUGAAAAUGCCCUGGGCCUGGUCUUAAGCUUCCAGACUGCAGCUUCCUCAGUUUCAUCCUGGACUGUCCGCAAAGGCAAACUGUGAGAAGCACAGUCACACCCCAGCACGUGGCUUCUACAAACAGUGGGCACAGCUGCACACCACAGGGAAGUCUUUGCUCCUGUACACAAUAAUAACGCUCCCUGUCAAUAAAAAACCCUAAUUCACACAAAGAACUGA
rnacentral:lncRNA from 1 species